rnacentral:piRNA from 1 species
UGUGAGUUGUACCUGCACAUC